rnacentral:rRNA from 1 species
UACGGAGGAUGCGAGCGUUAUCCGGAUUUAUUGGGUUUAAAGGGUGCGUAGGCGGACGCUUAAGUCAGCAGUAAAAUUGCGGGGCUCAACCUCGUCGAGCCGUUGAAACUGGGUGCCUUGAGUGGGCGAGAAGUACGCGGAAUGCGUGGUGUAGCGGUGAAAUGCAUAGAUAUCACGCAGAACUCCGAUUGCGAAGGCAGCGUACCGGCGCCCAACUGACGCUGAAGCACGAAGGCGUGGGUAUCGAACAGG